ensembl:lncRNA
GGGAAAGUCAGCCCACUUCAUAGAUAAGGUGGACCCUGCUGUGGUCCUCUGGGUGUCCUGCGGGUUGUGGUUGUGUCACACAGGGAGCCAUGCGAUUCUGUCCUCAUCUGGCCACUGUGCAGCCCGUGCACUGAGCACUCGCCCUGUCUGCAUCACAGCAGCUGCAUCUGUCUCCUCCUAGGGAGGGUUUUCUUUCUCCCUGAAUUCAGGUCUGGCCCCUUACAUUCUGUGACCACUCCCUUCCACCUCUGUCAGGACCACCUGGAACCUUCCACCCCAUCCUUCUUGGUUUCAUGUCUUCAUCCCAUCAGGAUGAGCACAGGAGGAGUGGAGAAGCGGAAGAACAAUCUUCAGGCUCAUUCUCUUUCCUAGUUAGUGUGUGUCUGCAGCAUAGGAGAAUGACAUCACCCUUGGGGAUUUGGAGCAUGUCCGUACCCCAUCUGGAUCCUUUGUACUCUCCCGGACCCACCACCACGCCCCCCCCGUCCUGGUCCUUGGGCCUCCCUGGCCGCUUCGGACUCUACCUCCCUAUUUCCAGCCGUCUGUCUUUUCUUUGGCUGUCAAAACUAUUUUUCCUUUGGGUGUCUCCUGUUGGAGAACCCCCUGUCAUAUUUAUACCUCCGCAGUUCAUUGUUUUACUUAUAAUUAUGACCUCAGUAGCCAUCCACCUUGCCAUCAGUGUCUGCAGUUCAUCUCUCCUCAUGGUUCAGCAGUAUUCCUUGUGUACGUUUACCACCUUUUCAUCGUCCGUUCGUCUUCGAUGGGCAUAGGGACCACUUCCAUAUUUUACCUAUCUGUAAGGCUUGUGCUAGCCUCAGUGUCUCAGUUUACUUUCUGUUUGCUUGAGCAAAAUCUCUGACACAGAUGAAAGGAGGAAAGGUUUAUUUUGACUGACAGUUUGUUGAUGUUUCGAUCCAUAGUUGGCUGGUUCUAAGGCAAGAUGGCGUGGUUGAAAAGAAAGAGUUCAUGGCUAGGCAGGCAGUAAGAAGCAAAGGCUGGGGGCAGGAGGAAGGGUCUAGCUCUCUCCAGGGCACGCCCACAAGGACCCUCUCCUCCCACCAGGCUUCACCUCCCAGCAUGAGACCCAGACAGAAACCCAUCCGUGCACUAGCCCCGGUAUGACAGGCCCGAUCCAGUCACUUCCCACACGCACGGCCUCUGAGCAGAGAAGGCUUUGGGGGGACAUCUAGAUGUAAGCCGUAACGGUCAGCGUGUGUGUGCAUGCAGCACUGUGCUCCGAUGACCUCCACUCUCUCGUGCAGAUGCCCAGGAGAGGGGGUAGCUGGUUCCAGUGGAAUUCUCUUCUGAGUGUUUUUGAGGAAAGUCCACACUAAUUUCCACUGGGGUGCUACCAGUUUAUAUUCUGCCAAGCAAAGCAGAAGGGUCCUUUUUCCACGCAAGCUCUCAAGCCUUUGUUCUUCGUGAUAGACAUUCUUGCUGGAAUAAGACAGACUCUGGUGUUGUUUUUAUGGGUAUUCCUUGUCUUGUGCCUGCUGACCAUUUCUCUUGCUUUUGUCGAGGAUGUGUUGGUUUGAGUUGCCCAGUUAGUGCCGUGAGUCAAGCUGUAGGAAAGGAGUGAAGCACGGAGGUCAGGUGUGUCCCACAGUGGGCACGCCAGGACCUUUUAUAUUUCACAUCGGAUGUUUUUGAGUUCUGCUAUUUCUAGAUAUUCCCCCUCUGUCUGAGGAAUUGGCUGUGAAAAAUGUCUUUCCCAUUUGGUAGGUCUCUAGUCAGUCUCUUGUGGGUUUCCUUUACUUCCAGGAACCUUUAUGCUCGACUACAAUUCCAUUUGUAGAAUUUGUGGCUUGUUAUUGUUAUACAGUGGGCAUUCUGCUGAGGGACGUCCAUGGCUACGCUGUAUCUUCUCCCAGAGUUUGUGUUUUUAUGCCCAGAUGUAUGAUCCACUGGCGUUUGCUUUCAGCACAGGGUGAGAGAGAUGGGCAGAGUCGAUCUUGCUGCACGUGGACCACCAGUUUUCCCAGCGCCCUUUUUCCAUGGCCUGUGUUUUCUCCAGCCUAGGUUAUUGGCUCCUUUGCCCAAGAUCCAGUGGCUGAAGGUUUUUGGGGUUGUUUCUGCACCCUCUAUUCUGUUCCCUAUGUCCAGCUGUCUGUGUGCGUGCAUUGGUACCAUUGUGUCUCUCAUGGUCUGCCCAGGGAGGGAAGUGAGGAAGUCUUCCCGUUCCUUAGGAGACAGUCUGAGUCUCCCGAGCAUGUUCCCCCGGGUGUCCUGUUGUCUCACUGAGAGAGCCAUUCAUUCACUUCCAUUGGCCACCAGGGUUUGUACUGGGUCUUGAGGUGAGUUCAGGUCAUGACUGUUGUAUGUGUGCGUGUGUUUGUUUGUGUUUGCAGGACCUGAGUCCACCUGGAAGCAAGAGGAAGUGGCGUGGGAGUCCGUUUCUGCCUGGUGAGUGUGAGGGUCACGGGCUGUGGAGGCAGAGGUGGCCUGUGAGAUCUCAGGUGCAGGGAAAAGCGGGU